rnacentral:rRNA from 1 species
UGGGGAAUCUUGCACAAUGGGGGAAACCCUGAUGCAGCGACGCCGCGUGAACGAUGAAGCCCUUCGGGGUGUAAAGUUCUUUCGACAGGAACGAUAAUGACGGUACCUGGAGAAGAAGCUGCGGCUAACUACGUGCCAGCAGCCGCGGUAAUACGUAGGCAGCGAGCGUUGUUCGGAGUUACUGGGCGUAAAGAGUGCGUAGGCGGCGAGCCAAGUUUGGUGUGAAAUCUCCCGGCUUAACCGGGAGGGUGCGCCGAAAACUGGAUGGCUGGAGUAUGGGAGAGGAAAGCGGAAUUCCUGGUGUAGCGGUGAAAUGCGUAGAUAUCAGGAGGAACACCUGCGGUGUAGACAGCUUUCUGGACCAAAACUGACGCUGAGGCACGAAAGCGUGGGUAGCAAACA